UUUAAGUAUCGCGUGAUCUGUAACCGUUGCCGGGGCUGCGACGAGCGCGCCUAAGAUCUGAUCCUCCCAAGACUUGACCGCGAAUUCGGCAAGAAUU
rnacentral:sRNA from 3 species